GAUGAACGCUGGCGGCGUGCCUAAUACAUGCAAGUCGAGCGAACGGACGAGAAGCUUGCUUCUCUGAUGUUAGCGGCGGACGGGGGAGUAACACGUGGAUAACCUACCUAUAAGACUGGGAUAACUUCGGGAAACCGUAGCUAAUACCGGAUAAUAUUUUGAACCGCAUGGUUCAAAAGUGAAAGACGGUCUUGCUGUCACUUAUAGAUGGAUCCGCGCUGCAUUAGCUAGUUGGUAAGGUAACGGCUUACCAAGGCAACGAUGCAUAGCCGACCUGAGAGGGUGAUCGGCCACACUGGAACUGAGACACGGUCCAGACGCCUACGGGAGGCAGCAGUAGGGAAUCUUCCGCAAUGGGCGAAAGCCUGACGGAGCAACGCCGCGUGAGUGAUGAAGGUCUUCGGAUCGUAAAACUCUGUUAUCAGGGAAGAACAUAUGUGUAAGUAACUGUGCACAUCUUGACGGUACCUAAUCAGAAAGCCACGGCUAACUACGUG
rnacentral:rRNA from 1 species